rnacentral:misc_RNA from 1 species
GAUGAAGAACGUAGCGAAAUGCGAUACUUGGUGUGAAUUGCAGAAUCCCGUGAACCAUCGAGUCUUUGAACGCAAGUUGCGCCCGAAGCCAUUAGGCCGAGGGCACGCCUGCCUGGGCGUCACACGUCGUUGCCCCCCCAUCUACUCCUUCGGGAUUGCGGGGGGCGGAUGAUGGCCUCCCGUGCGCCUCGCCGCGCGGUUGGCAUAAAUGCCAAGUCCUCGGCGACGCACGCCACGACAAUCGGUGGUUGCGAAACCUCGGUUGCCCGUCGUGUGCGGACGUCGCGCAUCGAGGGCUCGAAAAAAUUGCCGGGUUCCGGCUCGGCUUUCAACGCGACCCCAGGUCAGGCGGGGUUACCCGCUGAAUUUAAGCAUAUCAAUAAGCGGAGGA